ensembl:lncRNA
CCUCAGCUGGCGCAGACUGGUGCGGGGCCCUGACACACACCUCGUCCUACGUGUCCGGCCCUGACUGAUGGGAGGACGCGAGGCGGCAAAACUCAUCAGUGUUAAUUAAUUCCUGGAUGCACUGACCUUACUCCUGGCAGAUAGCCACUCUCCUUACUCUGGCUCAACCAUGCUGCCCAUCAGAGAGCAAUGCAAUCUCACGUGGAGGAGAAGCACUACCAUCACACAGCUGGGCUUAAGGGCACUGAGGUCUGCACA